UCCAGAGAUGUAUAUCUAGAAGAAAGUCUUCUCUGGACGCUGGACAAAAAAAAAAAACUUAACACUGAUUUAAGAAAAAAAAAAAAAUCUUCAGGUGUCCCGAUACUUUUUUUUCAUAUAGUGUAUUCUAAGGUGUAAAGCUGGAUGAUGACUAAAGGACACUAGAUAAAGAAUACAGAUUACCAUGUUCGUGUAUGUAAGUGCAGGAAGUGUAAUUUCCACAUAUUUCCCCUAAACAUGUUUCAUAUUUACACUCACUAGCUCAUUUCCCCUUCCUGGAACUGCUGAAUAUUUCUACUGUAAUACUUUCUCAUUGAUUGAUGCUGUUCUAUCCUCAGUACUGUUACUGGUCUCCUCAGACUGAACUGGACGCACUGGUCCAGUUGGCUGCAGGGUCUGGGUCCGGCAGCAGUGCUGUGGUUGGUGGUUCAGGAGGAGUCUCCGCUCUACUCGUCUCUCAGUCUGCUGCAGGCGGGGGGCAGGCUGCUGCAGGCUGUGCUGAUCUGGACCAUACUCGCCCUCUGCACUUAUUUAAUCCGCUUCCUUUACCAUAACAAAGAGACUUAUAUACAGAGGCUCAGAGGAGUAUCCUGGAUCAGUGCAGAACCCAUCAGAGAAAAUAAACCUUAUCAUCAGCAGCGUGAACAGGAUGCGGGUCAUCUUGUGUCUGUGCUCAGUUCUGUGCUGGAUGGAUUUGUGGUGUCUGUUCUUCAGGAGCCGGUUUCAGGAGAGUCCAGUCUUCCACAGAUACGCUGCCUCCUCACCAGGCUGGAGGUAGUAUCUCAGGCACUCCAUAAGGGCUCCCUUUCUGAGGGCCAGUCACUACAGAUCAAAGAGGAGGAAGAGGAAGUGAGUGAGGAAGAUUCUUCACUAAGGGACAGAGUUAAACACAUCCACACUUACCUGCAGGACAGGGUGGGUGCUCUGCGCUGCCUCCUGCAGGUUCAGGAUGAGUACGGCGGGUGUCUGGCAGAGGUUCAGCAGGGUCUGCAGGAGCACUGGGAGCUUCUGGAGGAUCUACACACCAGAGUAACCCUGCAGCCGGAUCAGCACCAGAACCCGGAGGACCCCAACACUGUUCUCUCGGAUACAGAGAGCCUCUACACACAGCUGGGUCUGUUUAGGAGGACGGUUAAUGAGUGUCAGACUCACCUGAACUCCUGUACACACCUACUGCAGGGUCUGGAGAGCAGGCAGAAGGUUCUGGCUGAGAAGGUGGGUUUAACACUGGACUCUACGUGGAUCAAAGACUUUGUUCAGUCUAACUCUCAACAGUUCAAAAAGGUGCAGGAGAACUUCCUGUCUCUGGAGCAGCAGACCCUGACCUUUGUGACCCACCUCAGAGGACUCAGAGCACCGGGAGACAGUGGCGGGUGUGAUCUUGAGCCCGUUCAGACAACGCCCUCAUCGCCUCUCUCAUCUGUACCGGUCUAUACCGCUGUUUUAUCCACAGACAGUACUGACCCUCACCUGGACCCGGACCUGGAUACAAAACCCCCACCCAGACCCAGCUCCAAACUUUCAGCUAUGAGCUGUCUGUGUGGAGUGAGACGCAGGAAGUGAUCUGACCUCUGAGUCAGUGUUUGUUCUAAUGAAGGUGUGAGCUUCAGAGCUUCUCAUGGACACCUAGCAGCUAGUAUAUAUAAUAUUAGCUACAGCAGUGAAAUAAUAAGCAGGUCUAGCAGGUGCAGGCAAGCGUUGUGCUCACUAUUAACAACACAAGAAGAGGUAGUACGUGUGUUUGUAUUUCCAUGUUUUGGAAAUGGAGCUACAGAACUACACUAAAAACUGAUGCACUGUGAAAGAAAGAGGUGGAGUGUUAUUCCUGCCCACAGAGCUCCCUGAUAGGUCUACUGGGCAAUAGAGGGACACGAUUUGUAUGUGGGAGAAUCACAGUAAUCACAGGAGAGGUGGGAUGCCUGUGUCUUUCUGAAUCCUUUUGGUCUCCAGGUUUCUAAUGUUGUGGGUUCAUUUAUUGCUGUGGUCUUUGCCUCUCAAAAAACCUUCAGUAGGUGAAGUGGCUAAAUGCUAAAUGCUAAAUUGUAUGUGAUACCCUGUGAUAGACUGGUGCCCAGUGAUUUCAGACAGGUUCUGGAACCACUGUGACCCUGAACAGGAAGAAGAAGAUGAGCAGAUAAAUGGAUUGAUUUUUUUUUUUUUGGGCAACUGCUAUCUAUCCUGCUCUAUACUUUAGAGCCUUUUGUUUUUUUUUUUGUUGAAGAGCAAAUUAAUCAUAAAGUGAGAAAAUGGCUCCCAUUAAAAUUGUGUAUUUCUAUUCAGCUUGUUUUUGAUGGAUUACUAUGAUUUAUAAUCAUGAUUCCACAUCAGUAACAAGAGAUUUAUUGAGUGUGGGUCUGUAAUACUUUACUCAGCUCUGGUAAAAAAUAUUUUUUAAGAGUCUAUAAUAGAGUUUAUAAUGUAUAGUGAUAUGAUGUGUGUUGUUGGUCCAGUUGCUGUUUUGCUGUUGUUUACCAGUAUGACAUUCUGACUUUAAUAUUUUAUUUAUUUAUGCUAGAUGUAGAAUAAAUUGCACUACAACUUAGCCUAUUUUCA
rnacentral:lncRNA from 1 species